UCUCUCUCACAUACCUCUUCUAUGUACUCGGACGUAUGUUAUUGCUUUUUCCCCGCAUUCUUCCAAAUCAGAAUCGGCACAACUUUGUCCUUGAUGUUUAUUGCUCCUUCAUCAUUCGCACGGCGGCACUCGUACGAGGUAGAUCGUAUUUCGUAUCGGCGUUUUAUUUUUUCCAAAAAUAUCCUUAUACUACACUUCCCGUAGUUUCAACCUUAUCCUUUUCCAUCUUACUUAUUGCAAACACUAUCCGAAUUGCGGCGUUUGGUGGGGUUGUUUACAUUAUCACGCUUAGCUUGCGCGCUCCUUAUUCCCCCACUCUCUCUCACAUACCUCUUCUAUGUACUCGCACGUAUAUUAUUGCUUUUUCUCCGCAUUUUUCUUCCAAAUCGGCACGACUUUGUCCUUGAUGUCUAUUGCUCCUUCAUCAUUCGCACGGCGGCACUUGCACGAGGUAGAUCACGUUCCAUACCGGCGUUUUAUCUUUUCCAAAAAUAUCCUUAUACUGCACUUCCCGUAGUUUCAACCUUAUCCUUUUCCAUUUUACUUAUUACAGACAUUAUUCGAGUGUCGAACGUAUAAUCCGUGCGAUGAUAUUGGAGUUUUACUUUGUCCGAACGACAAAGUACGCGUCGGGAAUGCCGUUUAAAACGUCGUGUGAUUUACGUCGCGAACGCAUGUGAGUGCUUGAAGACAACAAUGAGGACUGAGAGGAGGAGGAGGCUCAGGAUGAGCAUCGGGCGUCAACGGAGCAACUUUAGAGUCAACUUGUCAACAACUCCGCUGCUGCGCAUGAUGCCGAUGGAUUUGAGGUUUUAUUGAUCCGCACGAGGACAUGUCCUCUUUAAACGAAUAGGAAUCGAAGAGUUUGAAGCAGAUUAAAAAGGAAAAAUGUAUACCUUGUCUGAUCUUCAUCAUUAUGGCUGCUAUUACUGCUGCUGUUUGGACUGCCAUCCCUC